ACCCGCUGAACUUAAGCAUAUCAAUAAGCGGAGGAAAAGAAACCAACAGGGAUUGCCCUAGUAACGGCGAGUGAAGCGGCAACAGCUCAAAUUUGAAAUCUGGCUCUCGGGCCCGAGUUGUAAUUUGUAGAGGAUACUUUUGAUGCGGUGCCUUCCGAGUUCCCUGGAACGGGAUGCCAUAGAGGGUGAGAGCCCCGUCUGGUUGGAUGCCAAAUCUCUGUAAAGUUCCUUCGACGAGUCGAGUAGUUUGGGAAUGCUGCUCUAAAUGGGAGGUAUAUGUCUUCUAAAGCUAAAUACCGGCCAGAGACCGAUAGCGCACAAGUAGAGUGAUCGAAAGAUGAAAAGCACUUUGAAAAGAGAGUUAAAAAGUACGUGAAAUUGUUGAAAGGGAAGCGUUUAUGACCAGACUUGGGCUUGGUUGAUCAUCUGGGGUUCUCCCCAGUGCACUCUUCCAGUCCAGGCCAGCAUCAGUUUUCCCCGGGGGAUAAAGACUUCGGGAAUGUGGCUCUCUUCGGGGAGUGUUAUAGCCCGUUGUGUAAUACCCUGGGGGGGA
rnacentral:rRNA from 1 species